rnacentral:rRNA from 1 species
UUAUACGACCGUACCGCAAACCGACACUGGUGCGCGAGAUGAGUAUUCUAAGGCGCUUGAGAGAACUCAGGAGAAGGAACUCGGCAAAUUGACACCGUAACUUCGGAAGAAGGUGUGCCUUAUUAGUGUGAAGUGAACAACGGAGCAUGAAUGGGUUGCAAAAAAUCGGUGGCUGCGACUGUUUAUUAAAAACACAGCACUCUGCAAACACGAAAGUGGACGUAUAGGGUGUGACGCCUGCCCGGUGCUGGAAGAUUAAAUGAUGGGGUGCAAGCUCUUGAUUGAAGUCCCAGUAAACGGCGGCCGUAACUAUAACGGUCCUAAGGUAGCGAAAUUCCUUGUCGGGUAAGUUCCGACCUGGACGAAUGGCGUAACGAUGGCCACACUGUCUCCUCCUGAGACUCAGCGAAGUUGAAAUGUUUGUGAUGAUGCAAUCUCCCCGCGGAAAGACGGAAAAACCCCAUGAACCUUUACUGUAGCUUUGUAUUGGACUUUGAACAGAUCUGUGUAGGAUAGGUGGGAGGCUUUGAAGCAGGGUCGCUAGAUCUUGUGGAGCCAACGUUGAAAUACCACCCUGGUGUGUUUGAGGUUCUAACCUAGGUCCAUUAUCUGGAUCGGGGACAGUGCAUGGUAGGCAGUUUGACUGGGGCGGUCUCCUCCCAAAGCGUAACGGAGGAGUUCGAAGGUACGCUAGUUACGGUCGGACAUCGUGACGAUAGUGCAAUGGCAUAAGCGUGCUUAACUGCGAGACUGACAAGUCGAGCAGAUGCGAAAGCAGGACAUAGUGAUCCGGUGGUUCUGUAUGGAAGGGCCAUCGCUCAACGGAUAAAAGGUACUCUGGGGAUAACAGGCUGAUACCGCCCAAGAGUUCAUAUCGACGGCGGUGUUUGGCACCUCGAUGUCGGCUCAUCUCAUCCUGGGGCUGUAGCCGGUCCCAAGGGUAUGGCUGUUCGCCAUUUAAAGAGGUACGUGAGCUGGGUUUAAAACGUCGUGAGACAGUUUGGUCCCUAUCUUCCGUGGGCGCUGCAGAUUUGAGGAAGCCUGCUCCUAGUACGAGAGGACCGGAGUGGACACACCUCUGGUGUAUCGGUUGUCACGCCAGUGGCAUUGCCGAGUAGCUAAGUGUGGAAGAGAUAACCGCUGAAAGCAUCUAAGCGGGAAACUCGUUUCAAGAUGAGAUCUGCCGGGGCCUUGAGCCCCCUGAAGAGUCGUUCAAGACCAGGACGUUGAUAGGUCAGGUGUGGAAGC